CAUGGAGUGCUUUAUGGCCUCAUAAGCAGCACUUGCAGGCAGGAAGUCAUUGACAGCAACCUCCUUGUUCUCAUUCUUCUUGAUACAGUCCUCAAAAAAGCGCCUGAUUUCAGCCAAGCGGUGAGGUGGGAGCUCCUUGAUAUCAUUGUAAUGCUUGUACUCAGGAUCAUCAGCACAAACGGCAAUAAUCUUGUCAUCUGCCUCUCCCUGUUCAAACAAACAUGGGUACAAGCAAUAGGAUUCUAGUACCAACUAAAAUACAAAGACAUACCUGCAUUAUAACCAGCACAUCCAACGGAUCACUGUCUUCACACAGCGUGCGAGGAAUGAAUCCAUAGUUGUGAGGGUACACAACUGAUGAAUAGAGCACACGGUCCACCUUUACAUUCCAGUUUUCUUGUCAAGUUCAUAUUUAACCUUGCUGCCCCUAGGAAUCUCAAUGACCUGACAAGUGACAGAAAAGAGACACAAUUUGUUAGAAUCAUGCCAUGGAUGUGCUGCAAUAGAUCUCCGGGACAUAGAUGACAGUAUCCUUUCAUUCAGAGCAGGGGCCUUGACGGGGGCUGAGC
rnacentral:sRNA from 1 species